AUCCAGCUGAUGAGUCCCAAAUACAACGAAACCCGUGUCUUGGAU
rnacentral:hammerhead_ribozyme from 1 species